UACAGAGGGUGCAAGCGUUAAUCGGAAUUACUGGGCGUAAAGGGCGCGUAGGCGGCCUUCUAAGUCGAACGUGAAAUCCCCGGGCUCAACCCGGGAACUGCGUCCGAUACUGGCCGUCUCGAGGGGGGUAGGGGCAUGCGGAACUUCCGUAGGUGAGCGGUGAAAUGCGUAGAUAUCGGAAGGAACGCCGGUGGCGAAAGCGGCGUGCUGGACCCCUUCUGACGCUGAGGCGCGAAAGCCAGGGGAGCAAACGGG
rnacentral:rRNA from 1 species